UUUGCGAAGGACGCCAGCUGCAUAAUAACCUUACUGAAAUUCGCUUGUCUCCACUGUCUUCAAUAACAACAAAAUUGGUGCCACUGUGCGUGGCAUGAGGUGUAUUUAAGACAACGUUAUGGGAAAAUGGACAUCGGGCACAAACAAGGAAUGUGAUUCACUCGGAUUUAACCGGAAUGAUCAACGUUCAAUGGACGUUCGAACUUAAUAGGCAACAUUUGCAGAUUUCCACAACUGCAUAACGCUGAGAUGUGAUGACGUCAAGAUACAGGUCGCCAAAAUUAUGACAUUUUAUUUUUCAUAAAUUUUGAUUUUUCCAGAUAAGUUGUCAGAUGAGUUUUCUGGUACGCAGUACGUUAACAGAGACCACCAUUACCCCACAGUCCUCUUUCACCAUGUCCUGCACGGCGUGUGCAAAACCAACUACAUUGAGGGAACUAUCCAAAGCAUUCGCAAUGGCGAAGAUGAUACCAAUUGAACUUCCAACUCAGGACCAAUACAACUAACAUUUAGAUGCCGGAUGUGGCAGCAGUAUUUCCUGUUCGAAUUAACAUGGCGCUAUAAUAGAAGUAGGCGGAAAUGUUAAAUUUCUCUACGAAGCAGAUCCCUGUUUUUUGCAACAGGGCUUGUGAUGUAAAUCAGCGGUACAUCGCCGCGAUUUGGUCGAAAUGAAAAG